UACGUAGGUGGCAGGCGUUGUCCGGAUUUAUUGGGUUUAAAGGGUGCGUAGGCGGCUUUGUAAGUCAGUGGUGAAAUAUGGCAGCUCAAUUGUCAAGGUGCCAUUGAUACUGCGGAGCUUGAGUACAGAUGAGGUAGGCGGAAUUGACGGUGUAGCGGUGAAAUUCGUAGAUAUUAGGAAGAACACCGGUGGCGAAGGCGGCCCACUGGAUCGGUACUGACGCUGAGGUGCGAAAGCGUGGGGAGCAAACAGG
rnacentral:rRNA from 1 species